GUACGGGAGGCAGCAGUGGGGAAUAUUGGGCAAUGGGCGAAAGCCUGACCCAGCAACGCCGCGUGAGGGAAGAAGGUUUUCGGAUUGUAAACCUCUGUCCUCAGGGAAGAAGAAAGUGACGGUACCUGGGGAGGAAGCCCCGGCUAACUACGUGCCAGCAGCCGCGGUAAUACGUAGGGGGCGAGCGUUGUCCGGAAUGACUGGGCGUAAAGGGCGCGUAGGCGGCCGAUUAAGUCUGGAGUGAAAGUCCUGUUUUUAAGGCGGGAAUUGCUUUGGAGACUGGUUGGCUUGAGUGCGGAAGAGGCAAGUGGAAUUCCCAGUGUAGCGGUGAAAUGCGUAGAGAUUGGGAGGAACACCAGUGGCGAAGGCGACUUGCUGGGCCGUAACUGACGCUGAAGCGCGAAAGCGUGGGGAGCGAACAGGAUUAGAUACCCUGGUAGA
rnacentral:rRNA from 1 species